ensembl:miRNA mir-2217.1 miscRNA
CAGAGUGGGCAGUCGGUGUCGAUCUACAUCAUUCGCAGGUCGACCCUUGUGCCUGUUUCGGU